GCCGGAUUAGCUCAAUGGUAGAGCAAUUAUUUUGUAAGUAAUAGGUUAUAGGUUCGAAUCCUAUAUUCGGCU
rnacentral:tRNA from 2 species